AUCGCUUCUCGGCCUUUUGGCUAAGAUCAAGUGUAGUAUCUGUUCUUAGUUUAACAUCUGAUACGUCUUCGAUGUGAAGACGCUAUGUUAAGCAGCUUUUUGGAGAAAGGAGGUGGGUGGGGAGCUUGCUUCGUCCCCUCCGCGCAUCGACCUGGUAUUCAUCAUCAUCAUCAAUCGUAUUUAUU